rnacentral:lncRNA from 1 species
AUGGGGACCUCCUAUUUUUUUAAUGUAACAUUAAAAAAAAUAAAGACCAAAAAAAAAAGAAAACGGAACCAAGAGCCCUUUCAUCAGAAAACUUAAGUUUCUCUUCGGCAUAGUCUGUAUGGUAGCAGCUCCCCAACUUUUGCACUUCUAAUAAUUCCUCUGGGACAUCUGUUAAAAUAUAGAUUGCUAGGUCCCCACCCUGAAUCUACCAGCAGAAUCAGCGGGGCCCAGGCAUGUGCACUUAACUCACAUCCCAGGCAAUUCUGGUGGUGGCCCCUGGGCAGGCGAUGGUAGUUUGCCCAGGCCAGUCCCGGCUUACAUCUGUUGUCCCAGAAUUAACAGUGUUCCUUUUCACUUUCAGAAGUGUCCUGGUUUGGACAUAUUAUAUGGUCCCCUUUCUCCUAUCCACAGACCAUAUUUUGGAAAAACAAAACAAAACUGCUAUGGGUUUAUGGUUAAGCAGCUCCUUUAUUUUGCCCACAGGGUGUUAAAGAAAAAGUGAGCCCAACACCCUCUGCUACAGAACAUCUAAAUAACCUAUUUUUCCUUCAAUCAACCCUAAGAAUUUAAGUAAGCCUCCUUGCCCAUCUCUAACAACUCGCAAAAAUGCUUGGUGCUGUUGACUUCCUGAAUUUCAGAAGCUGAGAGUGUAGAAGAUAGAAGCUUGUGGUUGUGAGUGACGAAAAUACAGACCCGAGGCCGGGAAAACAGCACACGGACUCAGAGCGAAUCACGACUACCGUUUUAUUGUUCUGGUUAUGGUGGUACAGAUUGUUCACGUGCUCCAGGAACAGGUUGUACGACAGAGACCACACACUGCUCUGCCAACUUACAGGAAACAGUAUGAGGGCUACACACUUCUCAAGUCAUGCUCUUCCGACAAGCACAGCAGAAAAAGACUUCUCCGUGGAAGAGUGGAGUGACAAAUUACCCCAAACCAAAGUCACCGUUCACUUGUGACAGUGUGUACCAGCCAGGCCAAAGGGAUAGCACAGAACACAAGCGGGCCGGGAUCACUCUACAACCACAAGGCAGCGCACCAGCACUGGACACAGCCGACAUUUCUCACGCUGUCAUGUUGCCCAGGGACCGACUCAAGCACAGCCCCAGGUCUGAGAGCGUGGCAUCCAGUUCCAGCACAGUGCCGCAUGAGGAGAGGGAAGGUAAGAGCCACCAUGAGCACAAUGGAAAUGGAGGCAGCGAUUUAACUGGAUUCGUCCAACUGAGAAAAAGGCAAUUUAAAUUUUUAAAAUACUCAGUGCUUAAUAUAUAUAUAUUUUUUUUAGGCAAAUCUUGCCUUGGCUGGCCACUCAAAGUCAAAAAGCAUUUAGUUUGGUUCAGACUUUUUUAA